CUACGGGGGGCUGCAGGCGCGAAACCUUUACAAUGCACGCAAGUGUGAUAAGGGGAUCCUAAGUGCUCAUGCUUCGGUAUGGGCUUUUUUCAAGAGUAAAUAUCUUGGAGAAUAAGUGGUGGGUAAGACUGGUGCCAGCCGCCGCGGUAACACCAGCGCCACGAGUGGCAACCGCGUUUAUUGGGCCUGAAAGCGUCCGUAGCCGGUUAGAUAAAUCUUUUGUGAAAUCGUCAGGCUCAACUUGACGGCAUGCAGAAGACACUAUCUAACUCGAGACCGGGAGGAGUCAGAGGUAUUCCUGAGGGAGCGGUAAAAUGUGAUAAUCUCAGGAGGAUCACCUAUGGCGAAGGCAUCUGACCAGAACGGUUCUGACGGUGAGGGACGAAGGCUGGGGGAGCGAUCCGGAUUAGAUACCCGCGUAGUC
rnacentral:rRNA from 1 species